GAGCACGUAGGUGGGUUUGUAAGUCAGACGUGAAAGCCUCCUGUUCAACGGGAGAAUUGCAUCUGAAACUGCAGAUCUUGAGUAUAGGAGGGGAGAAUGGAACUUCUGGUGGAGCGGUGAAAUGCGUAGAUAUCAGAAGGAACGCCGGCGGCGAAAGCGAUUCUCUGGCCUAUUACUGACACUCAGUGUGCGAAAGCUAGGGGAGCAAACGGGAUUAGAUACCCCGGUAGUCCUAGCCGUAAACGAUGGGCACUAAGUAGAGGGAAUUACCGAUAUUCUCUCUGCCGUAGCUAACGCAUUAAGUGCCCCGCCUGGGGAGUACGGCCGCAAGGCUAAAACUCAAAAGAAUUGACGGGGGCUCGCACAAGCGGUGGAGCAUGUGGCUUAAUUCGAUGCAACGCGAAAAACCUUACCGGGGCUUGACAUGGUAGAAGUAGGAACCCGAAAGGGUAACGAACGGUAUCCAGUCCGUAGCUAUUACAGGUGUUGCAUGGCUGUCGUCAGCUCGUGUCGUGAGACGUUGGGUUAAGUCCCCUAACGAGCGAAACCCUUGUUUUUAGUUGCCAGCGGGUUAUGCCGGGCACUCUAGAAAGACUGCCGUCGUCAAGACGGAGGAAGGUGGGGAUGACGUCAAGUCAUCAUGGCCCUUAUGCCCCGGGCUGCACACGUGCUACAAUGGUCGGUACAAACGGAAGCGAAGCCGAGAGGUGAAGCGAAUCC
rnacentral:rRNA from 1 species